rnacentral:lncRNA from 1 species
CAACAAAAAGUAAAGACUAUUAUUAAACUACUAUCACAUGUGAAUAUUUGUUCUUGCUCCGCCAAGUGCUCAAUGAAGUGAUUCGGCUUGGAGAAUGUUCUUGUGAGCGGUUUCUCACAAGGUUGAUAGAAGAAGGAAACGUAAGAAGUCGUAUGCGAGUGUGGAAGACAGUGAAAGUAUUCGGGGUACUGUUGGGCGUAUUGCAACAAGCACAUGAGCCUACAGUGUAUCGGGUAUAUGAAUAGUGAUUUGUUUUAAAUGAGGAGGUCACCUUACCUUUCAUACUUUCUUUAGAUUUAUCGUAUUGUUACAUGUCAUAUGCUUGUGUGGAGUUCUCGACCGUUGAUAAGUAGAGUGUUGUGAAUGCCCAUACGACCGGCAUAGGAUCGAGUUGCCAUAGGCCUUUGAGCCAGUUGCCUUGAAUCUUCAGCAACGAUUACCUCUCCAAGUUAGUUAUCAAGAGUCUUCUGAAACGCCUGACAGAGACUAAGAACAUCAGUCCAUAGUAUGAUUUCCCAGAUCAGCAGCUCUCCUUCGCUCCACCGCCUUUAUGAGAUGAUCCAAUGAAAGAACACAUCACAUUUUGUUUGAAAUAUGAUAUACAGAAUGAAUAAAUAACGAAUGAAUAAAAGUUGCAUACCUGGCGUAUCAGAGGGACGGUAUUCCAGUGCUCCUUAUCUAGAUAGUCUC